rnacentral:rRNA from 1 species
GAUGAACGCUGGCGGCGUGCUUAACACAUGCAAGUCGAACGGAAAGGCCCAAGCUUGCUUGGGUACUCGAGUGGCGAACGGGUGAGUAACACGUGGGUGAUCUGCCCUGCACUUCGGGAUAAGCCUGGGAAACUGGGUCUAAUACCGGAUAGGACCACCUCCUGGAUGUUGUGGGGGGAAGUGUUUUCGGUGUGGGAUGAGCGCGCGGCGUAUCUGCUUGUUGGGGGGGUGAUGGCGUUUCAAGGCGUUGUCGGGUAGCCGGCGUGAGAGGGUGUGCGGGGACAGUGGGACUGAGAGACGGCCCAGACACCUACGGGGGGGGGCAGAGGGGAGAAUUGCACAAUGGGGGCAAGACUGAUGCAGAGACGCGGCGUGGGGGAGGACGGGGUUGGGGUUGUGAACUCCGUUCGCUAGGGAGGAAGCGUGUUGGGACGGUACCUGGAGAAGAAGCACCGGCUAACUACGUU